AAACAAAUGGAAAGAAAAGAAAACAUAUAAUCAUGCUGAAAAAGCUUUUUGACAAAAUCCAAAACAUAUUCUUGUUACAAGUCUUGGAGAGAUCAAAGUUACAAGGUGGCUACCUAAACAUACUAAAAGCAAUAUACAGCAAGCCAAUAGCCAACAUUAAAUUAAAUGUAGAGAAACCUAAAGCAAUUUCACUAAAUUCAGGUACAAGAAAAGGAUGACCACUAUCUCUGUAUCUAUUCAAGUUAGUACUUGAAAUUCUACCUAGAACAAUAAGCCAACUAAAGGAGGUCAAGGGGAUACAUAUUAGAAAGGAGGAAAUCAAAGUCUCACUAUUUGUAGAUGAUAUGAUAAUAUACAUGAGUGACCCCAGAAAUUCAACUAGAGAACUGUUUCGGCUGAUAAACACUUUCAGUCAUGCGGCUAGAUAUAAAAUUAACUCAAAAAGUCACACUGCACAAAACCCAAGUUCAAGUGAAUCAAAUACCUCAACAUUUAAAUGGACACACUAAAUCUAAUAGAAGAGAAUGUGGGGAACUACCUUGAACCCAUUGGCACAGGAGACAAAAUUGUGACCAGAACAUCAAUAGCAUAGGCAGUAAGAUCAAUAAUAAAUGGGACCUCCUGAAACUGAAAAGCUUUUGCAAGCCUAAGGACACCAUCAAGAGGACAAAAUGGCAGCCUAGAAAUGAUAAAUGGUCUGAAGAGGAAUUUAGGGAAACAGCAUCCUAUAUAAUAGCCACAAAUAAUGAAAAGUAUAUUGGCAAAACUCUAACCCAGCAAGUGAAAACUUUUAUGACAACAACUUCAGGUUUUUGAAGAAAGAGAUUAAAGAAGAUAUCAGAAGAUGGAAUGAUCUCCCAUACUCAUGGAUCAGUAGGAUUAGCAUAGUAAAAACAGCCAUCAUACUCAAAGCAAUCUACAGAUUCAAUGCAAUUCACAUUUAAAUUCCCACACACUUCUUUAGAGACAUUGAAAUAGGAAUUCUCAACUUCAUAUGAAAAAACAAAAUCCAAGGAUAGCUAAAAAAUCCUGUAUGAUAAAAGAAAUUCUGGAGGUGUCACCAUUUCUGAUUUUAAGCUGUACAAAAGAGCAAAAGUAAUAAAACCUGCAUGGUAUUGACAUCAAGACAGCUUGAUCAGUGGAAUAGAAUUGAAGACCCAGAAAUAAACCCACACAUCUAUAAACAGUUGAGUUUUGAUAAAGAAGCCAAAACUCUACAGUGGAAAAAUGAAAGCAUCUUCAACAAAUGGUGUUGGUUUAACUGGAUGUCUGCAUGUAGAAGAAUACAAAUAUGUUCAUAUCUAUUAUCUUGCACAAAACUUAAGUCCAGGUGGAUUAAAAACCUCAACAUACAAAUGAACACACUAAAUCUAAUAGAGGAAAAUGUGGGGAACUGCCUUGAACCCAUGGCCACAGGGUGCAAAUUCCUGACAAGAAUACGAAUAGCUCAGGCACUAAGAUCAACAAUUAAUAAAUAGGACCUCAUGAAACUGAAAGGCUAAGUACACCAUUUAUAGGACAAAAUGGUAGCCUGCAAUAUGGGAAAAGAUCUUCAUCAACCCUACAUCUGACAGAAGGAUAAUAUCCAAAAUAUAUACAGAACUCAAGAAAUUAGACAAAGCAAGCAACCCAAUUAAAAAAAUGGGCUACAGAGAUAAACAGAGAAUUCUCAACAGAGCAAUCUCUAAUAGCCAAGAAGCACUUAAGGAAAUAUUCAACAUCCUUAGACCUCAGGAAAAUGCAAGUCAAAACUACUCUGAGAUUCCAUCUUAAACUUGUCAGAAUGGAUAAGACCAAAGCCUCAAGUGACAGUGCAUGUUGACAAGGGUGUAGAGAAAGCAGAACACUCCUCCAUUCUGGUGGGAGUGAAAACUUGUACAACUGUUGUGGAUAGCCCUGGGGCUAAAUUCUCCUGUGAGUGAUUGUGAACAAGGAAUGAGUCAGUACUCAGGUGAUUUCCUGUAAACCUGUUUCCCACCUUCGUAAAAUAAAGGAGAGCUGAUGAUUGGGCAGAUAAAAGGGAAGAUAGAGC
rnacentral:lncRNA from 1 species